AACGAACGCUGGCGGCGUGCUUAACACAUGCAAGUCGAACGGAAAGGCCCUGCUUUUGUGGGGUGCUAGAGUGGCGAACGGGUGAGUAACACGUGAGUAACCUGCCCUUGACUGUGGGAUAACUUCAGGAAACUGGGGCUAAUACCGGAUAGGAGCUCCUGCUGCAUGGUGGGGGUUGGAAAGUUUCGGCGGUUGGGGAUGGACGCGCGGCUUAUCAGCUUGUUGGUGGGGUAGUGGCUUACCAAGGCUUUGACGGGUAGCCGGCCUGAGAGGGUGACCGGCCACAUUGGGACUGAGAUACGGCCCAGACUGCAACGGGAGGCAACGGUGGGGAAUAUUGUACAAUGGGCGGGCGCCUGAUGCGACAACGCCGCGUGCGGGAAGACGUCCUUGUGGUUGGAAACCGCUUUCGGCUGUGACGAAGCGUGAGUGACGGUAAUGGGUGAAGAAGCACCGGCUAACUACGUG
rnacentral:rRNA from 1 species